rnacentral:rRNA from 1 species
CAGAGAGCACGCUCUUGGUUGCUAUCUAUCUGACUCAGACCGAAAUGUAUGUAUACUUUACAGUCUUUGUCCCGACCAACCAAGAAAAUUCCUUCCUUGAAGAAAGCCAGCAGGGAGGGAGAGACUCCCUUCUUUUGAUCGUGGAUCGUUCUUUUGGGAAGCUCCACCACCCAGGCAGGUUGUUUGGGAAUGCGCCCUUGUGUGGGUGAUAACACCCACCUCUAGCUAAAGAUUGGAGAGAGACCGAGAGCGAAAACCUACCGGGAGAGAAAAAUAAAAAUAUCUUUAAAAAGAUAGAUAAAAAGUAAAUGAGAUUGUUAAAAAGCAACCGAUUGAAGUCUGGCUGGCCGGCCUGCAGCCUCCUUCUCGCUUGGAGGGCGGGUGCAGGUCGGCUUUUUUUUGCCUGCCACCAAUAGUUUUUCCUCCAGAAAAAAGGGGUAAAGAAGGUGUCUCUCUCUCCGAAGAAUGAGAGAUAUCCCUACACGACAUACUGUGAUACAGAGGGAGGCAUGCAGUGAUAGUUUUUUUGUCUUUGUGGAUUGAUUGCUCAGUGGCUUGCUUGUUUAUUUGUUCGGCCGACAAACCGCUCGCCGUCCAAGUGAGGACUCACUCCCUUCACUCACUUUUCACUCUCUUUGUCGGUUG